GACGAACGCUGGCGGCGUGCUUAACACAUGCAAGUCGAACGGAAAGGCCCUGCUUUUGUGGGGUGCUCGAGUGGCGAACGGGUGAGUAACACGUGAGUAACCUGCCCUUGACUUUGGGAUAACUUCAGGAAACUGGGGCUAAUACCGGAUAGGAGCUCCUGCUGCAUGGUGGGGGUUGGAAAGUUUCGGCGGUUGGGGAUGGACGCGCGGCUUAUCAGCUUGUUGGUGGGGUAGUGGCUUACCAAGGCUUUGACGGGUAGCCGGCAUGAGAGGGUGACCGGCCACAUUGGGACUGAGAUACGGCCCAGACUCCUACGGGAGGCAGCAGUGGGGAAUAUUGCACAAUGGGCGGAAGCCUGAUGCAGCAACGCCGCGUGCGGGAUGACGGCCUUCGGGUUGUAAACCGCUUUCGCCUGUGACGAAGCGUGAGUGACGGUAAUGGGUAAAGAAGCACCGGCUAACUACGUG
rnacentral:rRNA from 1 species